ACACAUACAAAACAGAUGAGACUCCAUGAUGACCAAAGUGGUUUUGUCAGGGUGGGGCCCAUCCCUUGCAUUUCUGAUGUGUAGAUUCCUGUGCUUUCCUCAAAUGGAAGAAUCUCAGCUCCUAUUAGUGGUAGUGGCGGACUGUGGCAGCUACACUCUCUC